UACGUAGGCAGCGAGCGUUGUUCGGAGUUACUGGGCGUAAAGGGUGUGUAGGCGGUUGUUUAAGUUUGGUGUGAAAUCUCCCGGCUCAACUGGGAGGGUGCGCCGAAUACUGAGCGACUAGAGUGCGGGAGAGGAAAGUGGAAUUCCUGGUGUAGCGGUGAAAUGCGUAGAUAUCAGGAAGAACACCAAUGGCGAAGGCAGCUCUCUGGGACGGUACUGACGCUGAGACGCGAAAGCGUGGGGAGCGAACAGG
rnacentral:rRNA from 1 species